rnacentral:lncRNA from 1 species
CACACUGCCUUUGAAAUCACUCAAAAUUGUCUUUUAAAGGAAAUCCUGCCAUUUGUGUCAACAUGAUGGACCCUAAGGACAUUAUGGUGGAGAAACUGAGGCUGAGAGAGAUUAAGCUUCUUGCCUACGGUACCACAGUAAAUAGGAACGUUCCAUGUGCUUCCAUUCAUUGACUAGUGGCCAUACUCUCCAGCCACAGACCACCAGGAGCACACCUGGAGGUGAACAUCCGGUUGAUUGAUUCGUUGCCAUGAGCGAGCACGCACGUUACAGAGAGCCACGGGGGUUCCACGAGAGGUGUUCGAAGGACUGAGAGGAUGUGCACUGGAGUCAGUGGAAGAGAAGUCCCCAUGAACGGAAGGUGAAGCACUUCCAUUUUGUCCUCACCACAAACGUCUCCAGUGUGUAAUGUCAUUACGCCCAGCUCACAGGAGAAGAAACCCAAGCUUAGGACGGUCAAGGAGCUUGUCCACAGACGCACAGCCAAUGGUCUGACCUGGAGCCUGUGCUCUCAGCCUCUCCCCCAGCUUCCCUCUCUCCUUGAGCUUCUCAAGGCCUUCACUUGCUUAUCUGAAACCUGGGAAGAAAGCUGGCACCUGCUUCCCUCCGGUGGCCUGCGGCUCAGCCGGCGGGAUGCGCUGUUGGCUGUGAGCGGCCUUGCAGAGACGGGGUCAUCCUCCCUGCUGUGGCUUCGAGGGCAGCGUCAUCACAAAGGCCCUUAGCACGGACGCUUGAGAAAGGCUGAUUCCAGCGCGAAGUGAGGACAGUCUCUCCACAGCAAGUGCUCCUGAGAGAGCUGGGCUCCCUCUGAGGUGGGAAGCCACCCCCCCAGCAAACAAGCACAUGCCCAGAUGGCAGCAGGGGUUCCACUCACCACCCAGGUAGCAGAGGCUCCCAGAACAGGGCCCGCCCGGGGGUCCCUGCUCCGUGCGAUGGCCUCCUCUUCCUCUCUUCUUUCCACGGUAGGUGCUCUCCAGCCUCCAUUUCCCCUUCAGAUUCUGUGGAUUCUUAUGUUCCAAGAGGUUGCCAGAGCCCGACUUGACCUGACUGUCCUUUGCCAACUUCAUCACCGCCUCUGGGGCAGGGGUGGAUAUCCGGGAAAACAUUUUUCCUGAGCUCUGGCUUGGACUCCUUCAGCAUCUGUGGAAAACAAGGGAGUGGACCACAUAGCCCUCUCUCAGUCAGGCACGCAGUUCAUGCUUGGCUCCCUGGGGCCUUUCUCAAGACAAACACCAUCGGAAACUUUUCCUCCGCCCCCCUUCCCUCUGAGAGAGGGGUCCUGAGGCCAACCGUGGAGAGUCUUUGGUUCGCCCCCUGCAGACGGAUGCUCUAAUGCCUUGGGCCAGAGCAUGCGGAAUGGACCGCUGAGGGUCCCCUGGCGUGACCUCUACGCUCCUGGGCUGGACAGAGCAGGGACUGAGGUGAAGGGUCAACAAGGGGGCAGUGGCUCCUUGAUGGCUUUCCCUGUUAUGGCCUCAUCCAGGAGAUCCCUGUUUUCUCAGGAACACCAGGAGAUGGUGUGUGUGUGCGCGCAUGUGUGCGUACAAGAGAGAGACAGAGAGGUGCAAUGAUGCCAUCAGGAGCUUUCUAUCCCUUUGAGAUCUGGGGCCCUCUGACCCACAGUUGGUGCACACACCAGCAGUGUCGCUGUCACCUGUGAGCUUGCGUGCGACAGAAAUGCAGAGCCGCGGGCCCCGCUGCAGGCCGACUGAUUCAGAGUCUGCAUUUCCUCAGGGCCCUCAGGCGAUUCUUAGGCACACGAAAGUUUAAGAAGCACGGAUCCAGGUAAGACGGGCUCCAAGCUCCUGGCGGUGUUCUCUGGAAGCCCAAAUCGCUCGUCCAUGUUGGAUGGAAGGCCAGGCCCUUUCCCAAUUGUCUGUGAAUCCCCAGGCUGCUCGCUCCCUUGGGGCCACCUCUGGCGACUCUGGAACAACCGCCUUCCCCGCACAGGACAGUGUAUGGCUUGUUCUGCCCUCCUUUGCUAGCUUUCUCUGUACCACAUCAAACUGAAGGAAUCUUAAUCCCUACUCCAGAAAGCAACUCCCGCAGAGCUUGUGUGUGUCCGUGUGUGUGUGUGUGUGUGUGUGUGUGUGUGUGUAGGAGAUUUUCCCAAAAUGUGCUGAGUGGGAGGGCGGGCAGGAUGGAGUGAAACAACCAUUUUAGCUGCUUUAUACAGAAGACUAGACGUCUCUGUUCUUUGAUGAGACAGCGAUGAGAAUUCCUCCCUGGCCCCUCACCCCAGGCGCUCCCCACUCCAGCCCACCUCACUGGAUUGUUUCUCCCCACCUUUCCUCCUCGGCCCCUCUUCCGCUCUUCUCUCCCUGACCCUCUAAGGAGCAAAACUCCCCUCGUUUCCUCAUAGAGAUCAGCGACGACACCCCUCCUGUGGUCUUCAUCCUGUGCCCUCAGGAUUCACCUUCUGUCCUCCAUGCCUCAGAAGCACGCUUCUCACACUCGUGUUCAUAGCAGCACUGUUCCCGAUGCCAAGAAGUGGAAGCACCCAAAUGUCUACCGAUGGAUGAAUGGAUAAGCAGCAUUUGGUAUACACAUACCACGGAAUAUUAUUGAGGCUUGAAGGAAAGGAAAGAAAUUCUGACACGUGCUACAACAUAGAUGAACCUUGAGGACAUUAUGCUAACGAAAUAAGCCAGUCACAAAGGGAGAAAUACUGUAUCAUCCCACUUACAUGAAAUUUCUAGAGUAGUCAAAUUCCUAGAAACAAAGCGGAAAGGUGGUUACGAGGGCCCGGGGGGAGGGGAAAAUAUAGGGGCCUUAUUUAAUGAAGACAAAGUUUCAGUUUUGCAAGAUGAAAGAUUCUCGAGAUUGUUUACACAGCAAUGUGAAUAUAAUUAACCCUACUGAACUGUCCACUUAGAAAUGGUUUAGGCAGUAACUUUUACGCUAUGUGGGUUGUUUAACCACAAUUAAAAAUAAAAAAAUAAGUUUGUAAGUCUGGGCAAGGCUCGCAUCCUUCUGGGUCUUAGUUCCCUCCCUGGUAGUUGGGGAUAAAUAUGUUUGCUCUCCCCGAAUUAUAUCUUGCAGGGCUAGUUUGAAGUUCAGGAAAAUUGAUGCCUUUGAAAGAAGAAAAAAAAGACAAUUUCUUUUCCAAGAAGAAUCUGGUGCCAGCGGCUGAGACACUUUGCUUCCCCUCGUAGCCUGCGUACCUCCAUUCCCCCUGCCUGUCCUGCUCCGCUCGCCUCCACCCGUGGGUCCUUCCAGUGGCGGAGUGCCUCAACCUUCAUUCUCUUCCCUCUCUGAGACUCCCAUUCUUUCUGGGCUUUCCCUGACUCUCAAAGCUUUGAGUACCUCCGUGGGCAGAUGAACACCAACCUGUGAGUCCUGUCUGGACCUCCUUCCUGAGAUUCAAACUGCUGUUUCCUCCUGUCUGUUGGACCUCUCCCCCGCGCACCUCCAUUCACCAGGUUCAAAACCAAACUCAUCACCAUUCCCCACAAAUAAGCUCCUCCAAGAUUCCUACUCCCAGUGAAGGGUCCAGCCAUUUACCUGGUUGCAAAAAAAGAAAUCUGGGAAUCCCCCCGGGGGACUGCCCCCUGCUCCUCCCCGCCUUCUUUUGUUUUUUUGUUUUUGAGGAAGAUCAGCCCUGAGCUACCUACUGCCAAUCCUCCUCUUUUUGCUGAGGAAGACUGGCCCUGAGCUAACAUCUGUGCCCAUCUUGCUCCACUUUAUACGUGGGACGCCUGCCACAGCAUGGCCUGCUCUCAAGACUGGGUCUCAGACGAGUCGGUUCUCAAAAGUUUAUUUCUCACUGUUGGAGGUGACUGCAGGGUGGCUGCAGCUCUGCUCUGUGUGUCUUCUUCAUUCCAAGAUCCGAGCUGAAGGGACAUGCUGUUCUUACGGCAGAGGGGAAAAAAGACAAUGCUGAAAUUUGCAAUGGCUCUUAAUGUUUCUGCUUGAACUUGGUCUAAAUCACUCUCACUUAGGACCCAAUGGCCAGAGCAAGUCACAUGCCCGAGUCUGACGGUGCUAAUCUGGGGAAGUACACUUCUUCUCCAGGAAAACAGUGCAAGUCGUAGGGCAAAGGUUAGGAAUGUGGAAUUCUCUUACUAGGAGGAGGAAUGAAGAACUAUGUAUAUGUACAUAUACAAUGAUGCAACUCAGGACACUGCUCGUGUAUGAGCCGGCUCCGCCUGUGGAAAGAGCACAGCUGGAGGAGUGUCCGGCUCUCCGUCAACCUGAGUCCCAGCAGGUGCUGGUCUCCUGAAGGGAAGCAGCUGAGGCUCUGUGGGGAAAGUGCUGGCCUCAUGGGAGAAGAAGAUCUGGAAGAGAACCCAGCAUGGAACAUGACAGGACGCUCACUUCAUGCUCCGGGCCCCUCUAGAGUGUCUUCCACUUGCCCGUGACCUUCCUACAGGAAUCUGUGGGAGUUGGCACCCAGCUGCAAUGCUGUGCCCUGUGAGCCCACUCCUCGGCCAUGUUUGACUGGGCCAAGGGACGGCCCCUAACCCACGCUGGUCCAACCAGGUCCUACCUGUGCUAAUGUGCAAUCCAGAGAGAGGGAGGCAGAAGGGCAGUCUCUCCUAUGGUUGGCAUGAUAAUGUGUGAACCUGGAAGCUGUGGGAGGCUGCCAUUCCUCCAACUAUUUGCACCGAGCAGCUGAGAAAGUCAGUCUUCAGAGAAAAAAGACAGAGGCAGCCCAGCAGCCAAGUCGAGACAAGGGGAGAGAAGGAGAAGCAACACUCCCCGAGCCCUCUGCUGCCUCCCUCUCCUGGUUCUUGUCAUUUCUGGGACGCUGCCCAGUGCUCACACGUGAGCUUGGGUUCCCCAAAUGACCGCUGCAUCUUACGACGACUUUCUCUCUUUAGGUGAAGUGAGAUUCAGUUCGUUUCUGUUGCUUGCAACCAAAGGAACUUUGAGCGAUUCAGACUCGCCUUUCUGAGCCUUAGUUUGAUCAGCUGAAAAAUCAAGGUAGCGAUGCUGAGUCACAGGAUUGCUGAAAGAAUCAAAUGGACAUAAAAAUGCGAUAAAAUGGGAAAUAUUAUUACAGGAGAGAGACACCACGGGAGGAGCAAAAUGUCUUAGAAGUUUUGCUUUGAAUUUUUGAAACAUUGGUUAACUAAUAAGAAAAAUAAUGGUAGAAGCCAACAAGAAAUAAUCAGAAUAUGUCAGACACUGUUCUAAGUAUUUUACACAUAUGAACUCCUUCAAUUUCCACAACAGCCUUAUUUUGUACAGCUUCCGCCAUUUUGCAGAUGAGGAAAGUAAGACAUAGGAGAAGUCUUAAAAACUAGCCAAGGUCACAUAUACUGGGUGACAAAGUAACGUUCUUGGCUUUCAUAUCUGUUUCCUCAUCCAUAAAACGGCACAAAUGUAGGUACCCCAGGGUGGUGUUUUUAAAAUUAAUUAAAAAGUCUCCACAAUGCACAUGACACAGUAAAAACUAACUUUUAAAUUGCUUUCACCUCACACCUAUCAUGAAAAUGGCUAUUAUCAAAAGGACAAGAGAAAAUAAAUGCUAGCAUGGAUGUGGACUCGUGCAUUGCUGGGGGAAUGUCAACUGGCACAGCCAUUAUGGAAAGCAGUAUGGAGCUUCCUCAAAAACUGAAAAAAAAGGAACUACUAUGUCAUCCAGCAAUUCUACUUCUGGGUAUUUAUCCAAAGAAAAUGAAAACAUUAACUCAAAAAGAUACAUGCACCCAUGUUCACUGCAGCAUUAUUUACAAUGGCUGAGAUAUGGAGAUGACCUAAGUGUGUACCAAUGGGCGAAUGGAUAAAGAACAUGUUUUGUAUAUAUAUAUUUUACAUAUAUAUACAAAAUAUAUAUAUAUAUAUAAUUGUGUUACAUAUAUAUAUAUAGUGGAACAUCGUUCAGCCAUAAAAAAGAAUGAAGUCUUGCCAUUUGUGACAAUAUGGAUGGACCUUGAGGAUAUUAUGCUAAGUGAAAUAAGUCAGACAGAGAAAGACAAAUACCAUGUGAUCUCAGUUAUAUGUGGAAUCUAAAAACAAACAAACAAACAAAAACCAAGCUCAUAGAUACAGAGAACAGACUGGUGAUUACCAGAAGAUGGGGGUGGGUGAAAUGGGUGGAGGAAAUCAAAAGGUACAAAAUUCCAGUUACAAAAUACCCUAGUCAUGGGUAUGUAACGCACAGUUUGGCAACUAUGGCUAAUAAUGCUAUAUUGCAUAUUUGAAAGUUGCUAAGGGAGCGGAUUCUAAAAGUUCUCAUCACAAAAAAAAAAUUCUGUAACUAUGUAUGGUGAUAUUAACUGGACUUAUUGGGGUGAUCAUUUUGCAAUAUAUAUAAAUAUCGAAUCAUGGUAUUGCACACUUGAAACUAAUAUAAUAUUGUUUUUCAAAUAUACCUUAAUAAAAAUAUCUCUUUCAUUAGAAUACUCAUCAUAAAUCUGUUUCCUAACUGCACUGCAAGUGAAGAAAAUAAGACAUGGACCUAUGAAGAGGGAAAUUUCAAAUAAAUAAAUUCUGUUUACACAGCAAAAGAUGGGCUUAUCAAACUCAUGGGAAAUAGGCUUAAAAAUCUGUAGCGCUUAUAAUGCCACUUGGCCUAAGGCAGCCUCAGACAAGCAGUUGUCAAGCCCUCGCUUAGUGGGAGGAUGGAGAUACCCAUACUCUUCAGUGCCUCUUGACAACGUAACCUUUUUUAGCUUCUCUGCUCUGAGAACGGCAUGUCUCAAUUGGCUAUGAAGAGUGAGAAGGCAAGGAAACUGAGAAGGGUGGUGUGGUGCUGUAUCUUGGGGUUCUGCAGGCAUCAUCUCAUGUUACAGAUAGAAAAUGGGAGCUCCAGGAGGUAAAGAACAUGGCUUCAGCCCAACAAGCAGGAGUUGGAGGGUUGGAUUGCAACACGAGUCUCUCUGACCCCAAAGUUUCAGCUUUCUUCCCCGCACCUGGAGAUGCCUCAUCACGUCGGAUGCCCAUCGCUGCUUCACACGUUACCCAAAGCCAAUAAUGUGAAACAGCAAUAAGCCUUUAUUAUCACCCGGCUUCUGCAGCUCAGGAAUUCAAGAGUGGCUCAGCUGAGUGGUUCUGGCUUGGGGUUUCUCAUGAGGUUACGGUCAAGGUAUCAGCCGGGUCUCCAGUUAUCUACAGGUUUGACUUGGGAAGGAGGAUCCACUUCUAAUCGCCAUGGCUGGUAAUUUGGUUGUAGGAAGGAAGUCUCAGUUCCUCUCCAUGUAGGCCUCUCCAUAGGCUGGUUGAGUGUCCUCACAGCAUGGUGGCUGACUUCUCCCAGAGCAAGCAAUCCAAGAGAGAGGAGUGCCAAGGAAGCUAUCCUUUUUAUGACUUCCUCUCAGAAGUACAUAGAAGCACUUCACCAGGCUCAUUAAUUAGAAUAGGACUGACCUGCAUUCGAGGGAGGGAAACGAGGCUUCGCCUUCCGAAGGGAGGAGGAUUAUGGAUGUAUUUCAAGACCACCGCACUUAGCAACAUGAGAAAGAAUUUACAGCUCUGGUGUGACUUGCCUACCUUCUGCUUAAAAUGAGUCAGAGGGCUUCCAGCACCUCUCAGGUUAAAGGUCACAGUCCUCACUGUGACCAGCAAGGCCAUGCACGCCCUACAGCUCUGCGUGUCUCCAGCCUCAAGCCAGGUCUUCCCCGUUUUAGCCACAUACCUGGACUGCUUCCAUUUCCUCACACUCCCUCUACCUGAAGGCCUCUGCAGAGAUGCUCUCUCGGCCCUCUGUGCCUUCCCAUAACCUCCUCUUGCCUUGCUAACGUCCGUUCCCUUAUCCUUCAGAUCCUGGUUCAAAGGUCGCCUCUUCACCAAACCAUCCCUGAUGUCCCAGACCAGAUCAGGUCCACUCAGAGGCUUUUAUGAACCUUUGAAUUCUUGAAUGAUACUUUUUCAUUUGCAAUUAUGUAUGGUGCGAUCACUGAGCUAUGUCUGUCUUCCCCACUAAUGCUCAGUCCAUAUUGAGAUGGCGCCUGUUUUUAUGUUCACCAUUGUAUCCCUAGCACGUUGCUCGGUGCCGAGCACACAGUGGGCACUCAGUGACAAAUGCAUUGAAUGAAGGAGCGCCCAGACAAUGCCCUUCUCGGAGCUGGAGGUGCAGGGCUGGCAGAGCACCUCUUUGUAAGUGUGCCUCAGUGCAGGUUCUGGCAUCAAGUCAGGGUUGACUCGGUGACUUUUAAGUUUCCUUUCCAUCAGGAGAGUCUGAGAUUCUGUGAGUCUGUGAUUCUAGGCAAGCAAACUGCCUCCUUAAGCAGCUUGCCGAUGGCCCAGGUCUUCUGGCUCCCAGGACACACCCUUUUAAGGGGCAGCCUGGUACAAACAUCAAGCACAAGGAAAGUCUAUGCUGGAAACUUCUGGGAGUUUCCAGCUGCCUGGGGCUUUAAGGGGCUCAAACGAUCGGGCCCUCCGUGGCUCCUUUAAGAAGUUUUACAAGGUUAAGGUUUGCUCUAAAAAUAAGCCCACAAGGCUUUUUGAAAAGUUUCAAAAACCAUAUGUCCAGCUGAGCCGUUUUUUGAAGGGCCAGUGAGCCUUUAAAAGCUUCAAAACCGCUCCUUGGCCUGCCCCCCACUGUGGAGAAAGCUCAACACGUGGAGCUUAGACCCGCUUCUAAGUCUUCUAGAAUCUACACUUGGAACAUUCUGCUUCCAUCAAAGGGGUUCAAGACGGAGAUGAGGGGCCGGCCGGGUGGCACAGCGGUUAAAUUCGCACUUUCCACUUAGCCUCACGGGGUUCGCCGGUUCGGAUCCCGGGUGCGGACAUGGCACCGCUUGGCACGCCAUGCUGUGGCAGGCAUCCCACGUAUAAAGUAGAGGAAGAUGGGCACACUAUUAGCUCAGGGCCAGGCUUCCUCAGCAAAAAAGAGGAGGACUGGCAGUAGUUAGCUGAGAGCUAAUCUUCCUCAAAAAAAAAAAAAAAAAGACAGAGAUGAGUGCGUACGAACCCAAGGCCAGUUCUCCCCACAGUAAACAACCACCCAAAUCACCAGGACACUGCAGCAAGUUGCCUACAGAGAGACCGGCUCAGCCUUCCCUGCUCCCCCUCCUCUCUCGUAGGUCUCUUCGCACUGCGUAUUGUGGGUUGUUCUUCCAGCGGGAAGGCCCGUGUGUAGCCCAGCCCCCCGGGCCCAGGAGAUGCCCCAGAGACAGAGCCCCUCGGAUAUCUGGCAGCUAAUGAGGAAGUACAUUCAUUUACUAAAUUGUUCUCGCGCUCUCAUUUCUUUUCCUUUCAUCUUUUUGAAUAAAUAUUUAAGCCCUUAUUAUGUGCUGCAUAUCGAAUAUCCGUCUUUCAGGUGGGAAGGCAGGGGCAGAGAUUAGUGGAGAGCAGCAGAAAGGACAUCUUGACGAAUCAGAAAUGCAUUCUCCCCAAAGACGUUUUACAGUUUGUAGGGGAUUAAAGAGGAGUCCAGGCUACGAUGCACCAGAUUUCAGGCUCCUUGAAUCCUUCAAGCUUCAGGAAGGAAUCCCUUAUUGACUCCUUUACAUAAAUGAGACUGAGACCAGAGAGGGUAGGAGAAUUGCUCACCAUCUGACAGGGCUUCAGCCACCCCACACGUGUCUUGCUGCUUCUCUAACAGAAUAAGCCAUAAACGGCUAUGAUGCCGGGGCACGGGGCUCCGGAGCAGUGUCAGUGUAACGUGAUACGAGAGUGCAGAAGAAAGAGAGGUCCCUUCCAGCUAAGAGGAUCAGAGAAGGUCCCGAUGUUGCUCCUUGCAGCCACAGUAAAGGGCAUUCUCUUUUCCCCAAACCAAGGAGCUCACCUCAGUCUCUUUUCUGUGUAAGUGAAACACUUCCAGCUUCUGCACCAACGUCGAAGGCUAAACCCAAGAGAGGAGUGCCGCUGACUGCCGCUCGGAGCCACAGCAUCGCAGCGAGGCAAGGACCUACUCCUCCUCCUGUGACAUCCCGACAGGUGCUCACCCAGCUUGUGCUCACACAUCCUCAGUGGCAGGGAGCUCACUACCUCAUAAGGCACUCGAUGGGGCAGACGCCGUCUUCCUGGGGAUCGAAUGACCACAGAAGGAAAAUAACUUAGAACAGGCAGCUCUUCAUUCUUCCUCAGCUGGUGUUUUUCCUCCAGAGCCUGGAAAGAAAUGUGGCCCAUGCACACCUUAAAUUGGACCAUCAAUUACUCGUGUCUUGAAUAUGCAGAGCUCAUUAGGGCUGUGUUGGCCACAGGAGAGUACCUGAGCUGAGAACAGUAAACUUGCCUCAGCCCUUUCAAUGCAGGCUGCCCCUCCACAGCGGAGCCGGCCUGGGGUUGCCAGGCACUAAUGUGACCAAUUAUUUCUGUCCUCAGUUACUAGGUCAUAAAUCCCGCCCUGGCACAGAGUCCUGGUUUCUGGUGGGAGAAGGUUCGCUUUUAGGAAUGACUCUAACUCCUGGCUGUGGAGUGGUGUGAUGUUGUGGUUAGGACCCUUGCACUCCAAGCCCGAGUGUUGCCGGGACCUCAUUAUGGCCUGUCAACAUCCAGCCGUGUGUGACAGUCACGUCCCCAUUCUGCUCCUCAGCCAUAAAGCGGGCGCAGGACCUCCGCAGGUUGCUCAAUGACGCGAGUUUGAGAGAAGAGGUCAGGCAUGUAGAAGAGGUCCUGAGGGCAUUUGUGUGAAGACCCUGACACGGUUGCCUACGAGGCCGGUGCAGAGUGAACUAGGCUUUGUCCCACUCCGAGGCCUUUGCACUUACUCUCGCCUGUCCAGGAUAUUCUUCCUUCAGCCCUUUGCAUCCUGGGUUAUUCUCAUUCUUCAAUUAUCUCCUCAAACCUCGCCUCUUCAAAGAAGCUCUCCUGAGCCCCUCUCUAAAGUGCCCCCUGCUCUCUGAGCCCCAGUUACUCUCGGAAGCAUCGCCCUCCUUCCAGCCUCUUCAGCACAAAGCACAACCUACACUUAGCGUGUGCCUAUCUGUGACAGCCCGAUUGUUACCCAAUGACUGCACGUGCUGCCGGUUUGCAGUCUGUGCGUGACGUUCUGAAUGAGAACCGGCCUGGCCCCUCUGUGAACCCCACGCCCCCAAGCUUGCAAAAGCUGGCUCUUUAAAAACUGUCUUGCAACUGCUCAUGUGAGCGGCUCAGGUGUUCCAAACUGAACAACCAAAGAAAAGUGCGGAAGUGAAUUGAGUGCUGGGGGUGACACCUGAUUUGAAAUGUUCAUAUGCGUUCACUUUCAUUGUUUUUACUGAUGCUCAUUAAGUGUUAUAAAUUUGAUAUAUUAUUUUAAAAAGGCAAGGAAAACAAAAUGGAAAAAGCCGAUCCUGCUUUGAAGGAACUCAGUUAAAGGGAGAGAUACAGAGGACAGCAGACACCUGUGCGGCCAUCGCUGAGUCUGCGCACAGAGGGAAUGAAAGUGCAAGGAGGCCUGUAGGGAGAAGGCGGGAGAGCCAGCCCCAGCGAGGGCGGGGCCGAGAGCUGGAGCAGCGGCUCAGGGCUGGGGAAGUGGAGGCUGAAUAUGGGAAAACUGAGAUCCAAAGGAAGGAAAGACUGAGCCCAUGGCCUCUAUCACUUGGCUGCAUCCCAAGGGGCUCACAGAAUGAGUCCUUCGAAAGUGUUUGCUCAUGAAACAAACACUCCGCAUCACUGUACUGUUUUUAAAGUAUUCCCGUGUGUACACUGAAAGGCAAAGUGAGGCAGUGAAUGGUUACCAGAUUUGGGAAUAAAUAGAUCUGUGUUAGAAUGUUAGCUCUUCUAUUUACUUUAUGAUUUUAGGCAAAUUGCUUAACUUCUCUGAGCUUCACUCUCCUUAAUUCUAAAGGCAGUCUAAUAAAGCGUAGUUUUCUAAGACAUUGUUAGUGCUGAGGUCAUUAAUGUCCAGGAG